rnacentral:rRNA from 1 species
CCUCAGUAACGGCGAGUGAAGCGGCAACAGCUCAAAUUUGAAAUCUGGCCCUCUCAGGGUCCGAGUUGUAAUUUGUAGAAGAUGCUCUUGGGGUGUGGCUCCGGUCUAAGUUCCUUGGAACAGGACGUCAUAGAGGGUGAGAAUCCCGUAUGUGACUGGUUGCCUUCGCCCGUGUAAAGCUCUUUCGACGAGUCGAGUUGUUUGGGAAUGCAGCUCAAAAUGGGUGGUAAAUUUCAUCUAAAGCUAAAUAUUGGCCAGAGACCGAUAGCGCACAAGUAGAGUGAUCGAAAGAUGAAAAGCACUUUGGAAAGAGAGUUAAACAGUACGUGAAAUUGUUGAAAGGGAAGCGCUUGCAACCAGACUUGCACGCAGUUAAUCAUCUGGUGUUCUCACCGGUGCACUUUUCUGCGUUCAGGCCAGCAUCGGUUUAGGUGGUGGGAUAAAGGCCUUGGGAAUGUAGCUUCUCUCGGGGAGUGUUAUAGCCCUCGGCGCAAUGCCGCCUACCUGGACCGAGGACCGCGCUUCGGCUAGGAUGCUGGCGUAAUGGUUGUAAGCGACCCGUCUUGAAACACGGACCAAGGAGUCUAACAUCUAUGCGAGUGUUUGGGUGUCAAACCCAUACGCGUAAUGAAAGUGAACGGAGGUGAGAACCCUUAAGGGUGCAUCAUCGACCGAUCCUGAUGUCUUCGGAUGGAUUUGAGUAAGAGCAUAGCUGUUGGGACCCGAAAGAUGGUGAACUAUGCCUGAAUAGGGUGAAGCCAGAGGAAACUCUGGUGGAGGCUCGCAGCGGUUCUGACGUGCAAAUCGAUCGUCAAAUUUGGGUAUAGG